rnacentral:tRNA from 1 species
UCCCUGGUGGUCCAGUGGCUACCACACUGUACUCCAAAUGCAGGGGACCCGGGUUCAAUCCCUGGUCAGGGAA